rnacentral:misc_RNA from 1 species
AAGUCGUAACAAGGUUUCCGUAGGUGAACCUGCGGAAGGAUCAUUAACACGUAUCCAAACGUUAAAACCCCCCCCGUGAACAUUGAUUCCUGCUCUUGUAACCCGCGAAGCUUGCAAUCUCUGGUAAAUCAUAGCCCGGAAAGUAGUUUUGAUUCAGAGACCUCUGGCCCGUGCGAAAUCACAACAGUUACAAUUCGAGCGGUAGUUCUAUAGGCCUUGUUUCCCCAAGCAGUCAGUGUCUGAAAGUGUCAGUGAUUGUGCAAGGAUAACGCUUCACGAUUCUUGUAGACCGCAUCUCGCGGGCAGGAGCUAGGCCAAAGGGUCCCCGUUAAAUGUGAAGCUCAAUGUAAUACAUUGGGUAAAAAACCGAACAACUGUUAACAAUGGAUAUCUUGGUUCUC